rnacentral:lncRNA from 1 species
CCAUGCAAUGAAAAAGACCCCAGAGAAGACAGGGAAAAGUCAGGAGUGUAUAAAAUCCCAGUUGAGAUAGGGAGAACACGGCAAAGUUCUUUGUACAUAGGGGUAACCAUAUGGACAUUACAGCAAAGGAUUGCCAAACACAAGAAGGACAUAGCCGUAAGAGCUACAACCACCGCCCUGGCAGAGGUUAUGUACAAAUGAUGUGAACAUGGAUUCGGAUAAGGCAAGGAUUGUGAAACCAGUGACAAAAAAGUUGCAAGCCCAACUAUUGGAAGGACUGGAAAUCAUAAAAGCUAAAAGCAUGGGCCCGGUGUUAAAUGAAAGAACAUCAGUGGAAAUCCUUGAUGCUUGGACAUAUCUAGUGAAGAGAGGAAGCCAACAGACAUCAUCAUCUGGCAACUGCCCAACAGAAGCCCACUAAGGAAAGAUGUGGAAAGAGAGGUUUUUUGAUUUUUAAUUUUGUUUUCAUUUAUAUAUAUA